AUAUUCACAUUUCUACCACGUGAAAAAUAAAAGCACUGUGUCACUGAGUUUACUUUCUCUUUCUCUAGCAGUUGCACAUGGCUUUAGUAUUUCUUCUUCCAUAAGAACAGGACCCACUAACAAAGAAGUGGGGAGGAUGUCAAAACCUCUAACAAGUCAUCAAACUUUCCUUGACAUUUCUGAUGGCCACAGACUUGCUCCUAGGCAAAUGCAUGCAGGCAAACUUAAAAAAAAAAAUUCAAGCGGUAGCACAGUGGAAACACAACUGGUAGCACAAGUGAAAGGUCCUGGGUUUGUGUACCAGGACUUCACUGAGCACAGACGGUGUGUGCACAUGUGCCUCUGGUCCGGGCAGGCUGAGAGUGUGAAUGGACUGCAGCAUGAAGACCCUACUGGGAGUGCCCCUCUCUUUGUAUCUCUCUCAGAAGAAAAAACUUAAAAAAAAAAGAAAAAAAAAGUUUUGCUUAACCAAAGUCAAGGGCAAGAGUGGAAGAUUCAAGUAAGAUUUUAGAAGAAAAAAAGGAAGUGUGCUCUCUGUACAAGAGCUGACACAGUGCUCAAGACAGAUGUUGAAAAGUGACUACGUGACAGACACUCCCUGGGCAACAGACUUCCAGGGUCUGCCUUCUGAAGCAAGAAGAAAAUAGAAUGGAAAUUAUUUUCCCAUUUAUAUUCUUUCCAUAGGAAGUACAUGGUUUUUAAAAGGCAGUUAAAUACUUUUCAUUACAGAAAACACAGUAAAUCUGGCCAACAGAUCAAAUCCCUGGAAAGCUUGUUUCUACCUCAGAUUAUGUGCAAGAACCUGAAACAGCAGCCUGGAAGGAUCAGGACUAAUGGAAAAUUACUGUCCAUGGAAAGUUGAAGGAAAAAAAAAAAAACAAGAGUUUUA